rnacentral:pre_miRNA from 1 species
AAUGUAACUACUGGAUCAUAUGGUAAUUCUAUUAAUUUUGUGAGUGAAUGUCACAUUGUUUUCCACAGAGUAUGUACCAUAUUACAUUCCCACCAGUAGU